rnacentral:rRNA from 1 species
CCUACGGGAGGCUGCAGUGGGGAAUAUUGGACAAUGGGGGCAACCCUGAUCCAGCCAUGCCGCGUGUGUGAAGAAGGCCCUCGGGUUGUAAAGCACUUUCAGUGAGGAAGAACGCCUGGUGGUUAAUACCCAUCAGGAAAGACAUCACUCACAGAAGAAGCACCGGCUAACUCCGUGCCUGCAGCCGCGGUAAUACGGAGGGUGCGAGCGUUAAUCGGAAUUACUGGGCGUAAAGCGCGCGUAGGUGGCUUGAUAAGCCGGUUGUGAAAGCCCCGGGCUCAACCUGGGAACGGCAUCCGGAACUGUCAAGCUAGAGUGCAGGAGAGGAAGGUAGAAUUCCCGGUGUAGCGGUGAAAUGCGUAGAGAUCGGGAGGAAUACCAGUGGCGAAGGCGGCCUUCUGGACUGACACUGACACUGAGGUGCGAAAGCGUGGGUAGCAAACAGGAUUAGAUACCCGGGUAGUC